rnacentral:rRNA from 1 species
AUCGAACGCUGGCGGCAUGCUUUACACAUGCAAGUCGAACGGUAACAGGUUAAGCUGACGAGUGGCGAACGGGUGAGUAAUGCAUCGGAACGUGCCCGGUCGUGGGGGAUAACGCAGCGAAAGCUGCGCUAAUACAGCCUACGAUCCGAGGAUGAAAGCGGGGGACCGUAAGGCCUCGCGCGAUCGGAGCGGACGAGGUAAGAUUAGGUAGUUGGUGGGGUAAAGCCCUACCAAGCCGACGAUCUGUAGCUGGUCUACAAGGACGACCAGCCCGACUGGGACUGAGACACGGCCCAGCCUCCGACGGGAGGCAGCAGUGGGGAAUUUUGGACAAGGGCCGCAGGCCUGAGCCGGCAAUGCCGCGUGCAGGAAAAAGGCCUUCGGGUUGUAAACUGCUUUUGUACGGAGCGAAAAGGCUCUCUCGAAUACAGGGGGCUCAUGACGGUACCGUAAGAAUAAGCACCGGCUAACUACGUGCCAGCCGCCGCCGUAA